AUUUAGUUAAUUAUAUUAAAUAUAUUGAAUUGAUAUUUCAAAGAUUUUUCUAAUUU
rnacentral:tRNA from 1 species